GGCCCUGAGGUGUGAGAUCAUAUCAGAUUGCAAAUCUGAAGUAGGCAGUCGCCCAGGGCUU
rnacentral:tRNA from 1 species